UACCACUUUUUUAAAGUGGCAUUAUCUAGAUUAUUAAACGAGAUACUAUUUAAACAAAGUCUAAUGAAGGAAAGUCAAAUAAAAGUGCAUAAUGAAAAUUUAAGAGCUCAGCUUCCUGAAAAAUACUCUUAACAUCCAAAAUCUUAAUCGAUUUUCGUACUUAAAGUAGUCUAAAUUUAGAUACAAAAAAACUAUCACAUAAAAGCCUUUGAGUUGAGGGCCUAGAAGCAGCCCCUUAAAAUUUAAAUUUUCGGUUAUACUGGCAGUAGGUUUAACAAAAUGCGAUCAAACGAACUACAAGCCAUAGAUCACAUUGGUGUUUACAUUUUCUAAUAAUCAUUUCCACACAGUUUAAAAGCGAAUGGAUGAGCAAAUUUUAUCAGAAUCGGAAAUAAAAAUCGAAGAAGAAGAAAUCAAUGACGACUGUGACAGUAAUAAUGAGAGAAACAAAAUUAAAAAACCAACAAAAUACAAAAAGCCCCGAAGGGGCCGACCCCCAGCAUACGCAAAACAUGAAAAAGUGCUGUCCCCGCCGUCUGAUCACAUCGACAAGUCAUGGAAGGAAUAUUUAAAAUUGGAGAACAGUCUUGAGACGUAUUAUUGCACCCAGUGCUCGUUUGAAACAAAGUGGAAAUGUUAUUUGAAAAAUCACGUUAAAAAAAUUCAUUCAUCGCCUGAGGAGGCAAGAAUUUACAAGUGCCAGAAGUGCAAAUUCACAACCAAAUGGAAAUUUAGUCUUAGCAAUCAUAUGAAAGUGCACAGCCCUCCUGGGAGCGUAAAGAUGCACAAAUGUCCCAAAUGUAGCUACCAGACAAAGUGGAACAAUGGACUUAGCAGCCACAUGAAAGUUCACAUGCUUCCCAAGGUGAUAAAAGUCAAUAUUUACAAGUGCAAUGAAUGCGAUUUUGAGUGCAAGAAUAAGCUGGAUUUGGCACAGCAUGAAAAAAUGGAUCAUAAUCCGCUACAAACGGUGUAUAAAUGUCCCUUGUGCUCGUUCCAGACCAAGUUCAGACAUGGGGUCAAUAAACACGUAAAAGUCCAUAACACAGUUAAAUAGUUGAAAAAAAUAAUAAUCAGAAACGUAUCUAGUCAUGUAACCAAGCUUGUCAUUAUUACCUCACGCUUUUAAGGAAAUUUCAGGUCAAAGUGGCCUAUGGCUGAAAUGAACUCAAAUGCCAUUAACUUCAUUUCAGUCACAGGUCACUUUGAUACGAAAUAACUGCUUAGUGUAUUUAUUUGAAAUAAAGUUUAAUGUUGUUAUAAAAACAAAUAUUUUUUAAUAA